rnacentral:tRNA from 1 species
UAUAAGUUAAUUUAAAUUUAAAAUAUUGGCUUGUGGUGCCAAAUUUGAUUACAGUCACUUAUAU